UGGAAGUUCCAGGCGGUAUUAUCAUGGGGGAUUAGCUCAGCUGGGAGAGCACCUGCUUUGCAAGCAGGGGGUCGUCGGUUCGAUCCCGUCAUCCUCCACCAAGAACUUGCAGCAAGCGGCGUCUGCGCAGUGCCCCGACAGUGGGUAGAACCAAGCAUACGGUUUAGAUGGUAUCCUUCGUUCUGACUAUUGUCAGCGCUCUUUAACAAGAUGGAAGAAGGUUGUAUCGUCAGUGCCGACAAGCAAAUACUGACGAUACGGUUGUGAUUGCAUCGACAUUCUGUCUCAGCAACAGGGUGUCGCACAAAUGAGUUGCCUGUAACUGGGUGUUCUCGGAAGAGAGCACAAGGUUAUAG
rnacentral:tRNA from 1 species